UGACUCCAGUCACCUGGGGUGCCUGCCAAGAAGGACAAGCGAGUUUAGGCACAGAUCUUAUCAAAUAUAUAAACUAGAAUUUAGUAUACUGUCAGUAGCACACAUCUAGGCUAAAGAUAAAAUCUUAUUUGUUAGGAACAGGGUAAUAAUUUAGCAAACAUAGGAUAAUGAUGGAAAGACAUAUUUUAUUGUAAAAAUGUUAGUUGAGGAAUAAUUGCUACCAUCACAGUGUACAUGAUUUAUCAAAGUGUUUUUCCAAGUAAAAGGUGUUCGUGAAUGUUAUUAGGUCUUUGAAAACUAGAGGUCUUCCGU
rnacentral:misc_RNA from 1 species